UAGUGAACAAAAUCUAACUAUCAAGCAAAAUCUAACUAGCAAACAAAAUCUAGCCAAUGAACGUAAUCUAACUAUCAAGCAAAAUCUAGCUAGCAAACAAAAUCUAACAAGCAAAAGCUAGUCUAACGAGCAAAAUCUAACUAGCAAACAAAAUCUAACCUAGUGAACAAAAUCUAACUAGCGAGCAACAUUUAACUAGUGAACAAAAUCUAACUAUCAAGCAAAAUCUAGCUAGCAAACAAAAUCUAACAAGCAAAAGCUAGUCUAACGAGCAAAAUCUGACUAGCAAACAAAAUCUAACUAACGAUCAAAAGGUAACUAGCAAGCAAAAUAUAACUAACGCGCGAUAGCUAGUCUAGCAAACAAAAUCUAACUAGUGAACGUAAUCUAACUAGCAAGCAAAAUCUAACUAGCAAACAAAAUCUAAC
ensembl:lncRNA